CAGUCCAUACAGCAAGCCCACCCCCCAUAGUCCAUACAACAGCCCCCAAGAUACCAAAGACCACAUCUUUGAGAACAGCCUCCAUCUUGAGGACGCCGCUUAUCUUCCUGCAUCCGGAGCUGCAGUGCCGACUAGGAUUAGAAGGGGACGAAGGUAACUUCAAUAAAGCCCAGUCGCACGCAAGAUAUUCUACCCCAGACCCACCAACAGAAGCCCUUUCCCACUCGGUUGAACGGCUUACUAUUUGAAACUAGCAUUGAAAUUGAAGACUUCAAAUAUCUAAAAGAAGAAAUUGUUUCAUCUAAAUUUGUUUUGAGUUCAUUUUCAGACAGAAUAAAAU
rnacentral:misc_RNA from 1 species